UACGUAGGGUGCGAGCGUUAGUCGGAAUUACUGGGCGUAAAGCGUGCGCAGGCGGUUCGUUGUGUCGGCGGUGAAAGCCCCGGGCUCAACCUGGGAAUGGCCGUUGAAACUGGCGAACUGGAGUGUGGCAGAGGGGGGUGGAAUUCCGCGUGUAGCAGUGAAAUGCGUAGAGAUGCGGAGGAACACCGAUGGCGAAGGCAGCCCCCUGGGCUGACACUGACGCUCAGGCACGAAAGCGUGGGGAGCAAACAGG
rnacentral:rRNA from 1 species